UGGAGGGCAAGUCUGGUGCCAGCAGCCGCGGUAAUUCCAGCUCCAAUAGCGUAUAUUAAAGUUGUUGUGGUUAAAAAGCUCGUAGUUGAACCUUGGGCCUGGCUGGCCGGUCCGCCUCACCGCGUGUACUGGUCCGGCCGGGCCUUUCCCUCUGUGGAACCCCAUGCCCUUCACUGGGUGUGGCGGGGAAACAGGACUUUUACUUUGAAAAAAUUAGAGUGCUCCAGGCAGGCCUAUGCUCGAAUACAUUAGCAUGGAAUAAUAGAAUAGGACGUGUGGUUCUAUUUUGUUGGUUUCUAGGACCGCCGUAAUGAUUAAUAGGGACAGUCGGGGGCAUCAGUAUUCAAUUGUCAGAGGUGAAAUUCUUGGAUUUAUUGAAGACUAACUACUGCGAAAGCAUUUGCCAAGGAUGUUUUCAUUAAUCAGGAACGAAAGUUAGGGGAUCGAAGACGAUCAGAUACCGUCGUAGUCUUAACCAUAAACUAUGCCGACUAGGGAUCGGACGAUGUUAUUUUUUGACUCGUUCGGCACCUUACGGGAAAC
rnacentral:rRNA from 1 species